UACGUAGGGGGCAAGCGUUGUCCGGAUUCAUUGGGCGUAAAGAGCGUGUAGGCGGCCAGGUAGGUCGGUUGUGAAAACUGGAGGCUCAACCUUCAGAGGUCGACCGAAACCAUCUGGCUAGAGUCCGGGAGAGGAGAGUGGAAUUCCUGGUGUAGCGGUGAAAUGCGCAGAUAUCUGGAGGAACACCGGUGGCGAAGGCGGCAUCCUGGACCAACACUGACGCUGAUGAGCGAAGCCAGGGA
rnacentral:rRNA from 1 species